CCUACGGGUGGCAGCAGUGAGGAAUAUUGGUCAAUGGACGCAAGUCUGAACCAGCCAUGUAGCGUGAAGGAUGACUGCCCUAUGAGUUGUAAACUUCUUUUGUAAGGGAGUAAAACGAGGCACGUGUGCCUUUUUGCAUGUACUGUAUGAAUAAGGAUCGGCUAACUCCGUGCCAGCAGCCGCGGUAAUACGGAGGAUCCAAGCGUUAUCCGGAUUUAUUGGGUUUAAAGGGAGCGUAGAUGGGUUGUUAAGUCAGUGGUGAAAGUUUGCGGCUCAACCGUAAAAUUGCAAUUGAUACUGGCAGGCUUGAGUACAGUUGAGGUAGGCGGAAUGCGUGGUGUAGCGGUGAAAUGCUUAGAGAUCAUGCAGAACCCCGAUUGCGAAGGCAGCUUACUAAACUGCGACUGACAUUGAGGCUCGAAAGUGUGGGGAGCAAACAGGAUUAGAUACCCUGGUAGUC
rnacentral:rRNA from 1 species